UACGUAGACCUCAAGCGUUAUCCGGAUUUAUUGGGCGUAAAGCGCGUGUAGGAGGUUUUGCGCGUCUUUGGUUAAAGCCUGCGGCCUAACCGCAGAUCUGCCAGAGAUACGGCAAGACUAGAGGAAAUCAGAGGUGCAUGGAACGCACGGUGUAGGGGUGAAAUCCGUUGAUAUCGUGCGGAACACCAAAGGCGAAGGCAGUGCACUGGGAUUCUCCUGACUCUGAGACGCGAAAGCGUGGGGAGCAAAAAGG
rnacentral:rRNA from 1 species